rnacentral:lncRNA from 1 species
CCCAAUUAAAUAAAUACAGCCCAAUAGUGAUAAAUUAAAUACAGCCCAUGUCAUCUCAUUUUAGGGUUCAGCCGGCCUCUUCUCCCUCGUUCAUCUUCUCCCAGUCCAAACCUUUCUCCUUCUUCCACAUGCGCCGCUGCCGGCGAGAAGCCACGGUCGCCGAUGCUCUCCCUCGUCUUCUCUCUCCCUUUGUCUCACCCUCUAUUUGUGAACACCCAUCUCCCUCGGGCUCUCAAGUUUCGCAACUGAACGGUGGCAAAGCCGCCGUCCAAAAGCCCUAGAUCCCCGCUCUAUGCGGCGUCGCCUCCCUCGUUGACGACGAUAAAUGCGCCGCUGCGUCCCUCUGCACACCCCAAGCCCUAGCCUCCAGAACUCGGCCUCCUCUUCUCGCUCAUCUGCAUCCUUCUCCUCUUAUUCCCCUUCUUCCUCGUCUGCCCAUUUAUCGAGCAUCGCUUUCUCUAGCCACUCCAAAAAAAAAACCUAGCUUUCGCCCCCUCCCCCUCUUCUCUUUGAACACCUAAAUUUUAAAAUCGGACAAAAAUGUUGACACCGCAAAAGGAGAAGCAGCCGCUAACGCCACCACAUCUUCGGCCCACGGCCCCCUCCGCCUGCAUAUUUAAUUCCACGCUUCUCCAUAUAAAUAUUUGUGUUCUUGUUAAUGUGGAUGUUUCUUGUCAGUGUGUGUUUGUGACACUAUUUUGGCAAAUUAAUUUUCAGUUUUUCGUGUUUUCUUAUUAUUCUUGGUAAAUAUCUUCACAAAGUGUUGUUAGCUUAAAGCUGAAGAUCUUUAGGUUCAUUCGCAUAUUAUUUUUUCUUUUUUAACUUUUUCAUUUUUUGUGUUUAUGGUAUCAUUUUUGUAGAUCUAGGAAUAUCUACUCAAAUUGGUUCUUAAACCAACAAUUUUUGUUUUUGCAGAUUAGUUUUUUAUUAUACAGUGAACAUCUUUAUAUUUUUUCACAUAUUACUUUUGCAGAUCUAUGAACAUUUUAAUUUUUUUUUGCAUGUAGAUCUACCAGUUUAUACACAAAUGGGUAUUAUGUGCUUGUGGGUUAUCACUCCGACGCCUCUUGGUUACGGCAAGUCCUCUGUCAAGCAGAUUUUCUUGAUAAAUAGGUAUGAUCACUUUCCAACAAUUUAGAUUACAUUUCUUCUUCUGAUUUUGAAUAACAGAUUCGCAUAUUGUGAUGAAGGAGAAACUAUAGAAACAAUAUCAGAAAUUAUCUGGAUGAAUAUGCAUUUGAUAUCAUUGUUAUAAAGACUAUAAAACAUGAAUAUAUUGCCUUUGAUAUCACAUGCAAUUUCCUUGAAGAAAUAAUUAAUUGUUCAGCAAAACACAAAUGUGUCGUGGCAUUAUUGAUAUAUUUUUUGGUUUAUGUACAUGAUAUGUUCAAAUGUGUCGUGGCAUUAUUGAUAUAUUUUUUGGUUUAUGUACAUGAUAUGUUUUCAAUUGCACAGCCUAAAUUAGAAAGAAAAAACUUCAAUUUUCUUGAUUUUGUAUGUGUUGCUUGCAUCAAAUGGAAGAGUCAUUAGGAGCAAUUUUAUAUUUUACUUAUACUCAUUUGUGGAAAAAAAAGGAUAUUCAGAAUUCUUGAGUCAAUAUGGUCCACGCAUCGCGUGGGUAUAUUUAAUAAGCAAAAUAAAUGGAAUCGAAAAAAAAAACCAUUUCUUGUUUUCAUCUUGUUGCAUCCAUUUUGGCACUUUUAUGUGAUGCCUGCAUAAAAUAGAAGAAGCAUCAGGAGCAAUUAUAUAUUCUACUUGUUAUUCAUUUGUGGCAAAAAAUAAGAGUAAUGGUAAAUAACAUGAUAUAAAAUUUCUCUCCUCCUUACCAUCUUCAUAAAUGAGUAGGAGAAUGGUGAAUAUAGGAGUAUAUAAUUUCUCUUACGAAAAUAAGAGGAGUUCUAUUUUCAUUUGACUUUUGACUAAUAUAUACAACUUGUGCUACAAAAUAUAAAAAACAAUGGCCUUUAUAAAAAUAUAAGGAAGAAUAGUGAUAAUGUUUUGCCCUUUCAUCAUUAUCACAUUUAUGAGAUUAAUAAAUGUCUGUAUUAGAUUAUAAUAAUAUUUUGCUUAGAAGUGCAGAAAAUAGGAAAAAGCAAUGUAAAUAUGUAGUAAAAUAGAAAGAAACA